rnacentral:lncRNA from 1 species
AACAGAUUGCUAUAUACGAGCUUGUUGUCAUCAACUUGUUGGAACAACUUGUUGCGAGUCUCUUGGUCUCAACCUUGUUACAAGAUGAUGACAACUUGUUCCAGACUUGUUACAAUUGGGAAUAAGCAAGCUGCGAGAUUUUACGAGUGAACGAUGAUCCAUCUAUUUGCCCAAGACAUACGGUAGCUCAGUUGGCAGAGCAUUGGGCUAGUAUUCCAAAGGUUGUAGGUUCGAUUCCCACCGUGGCCAGGCAUAUGUUUCAAGCCUGCCCGGUGUGGAUAUACACUCAGAGUAACAUCACAAGCAUCUUAUUCACCUGAGUACACUACACCAGAAAUAUCACGUACGGGUCUUUUGUCUGCAGAAUAACUCGUGCUUUAAGGCUUCUCUUGGUGUAUGUGAAUGAGUGGAUGAGUUAAGAAUGUUUAGAUGGGGGUACAUAUACUCAGAACAUUCAUAACUUAUUCACUAGUUCACAUCCAUCAGAAGAGGAAAAUCGCAGAAGAAAAUGCCGCAAAAAUUACAAGUCUAAAUGGACCAAUUGAACUAGAUCUACUGCAAAACUUUGAAGCACCAACAUUUUCCAUGUUGUUCUUUUACGUUAUCCGUCGAGUGUCGUUUAUAUAUAUAGUGUCGUUUUUGGAAGAGAAUGAUUCGUUUGAUAUUUUUGCGGUAACUAUAUAGCAUAUUUUGCACCCCUGGUGAAUUAUGUUUUAUUUGUACAUACUUUCAGGGUAUUGGAGACUUCUGUGUUCAUCCAAAGCAAGCUAUACGGAAGAUAAAGAAAGGGGAUGGCUGUAAUGAACAUUUGCGCUUUUGUUAAUUAUAUAAACUAGAGAAUAAAGCUAAACCAAAGCCACUUUGAGAGGAACGCCAAAAAAUGUUAGGUUUUGAACACUUUUCAUUAAAUUUUGGUUGACUUUGAUAGAAAAUUGAGUGCGA